rnacentral:rRNA from 1 species
AUUGAACGCUGGCGGCAGGCCUAACACAUGCAAGUCGAGCGGAUGAAGGGAGCUUGCUCCUGGUUUCAGCGGCGGACAGGUGAGUAUUGCCUAUGAAUCUGCUUGGCAGUGGGGGAUAACGUCCGGAAAAGGGCGCUAAUACCGCAUACGUCCAGAGGCUGAAUGUGGGUGAUCUUCGGACCUCUCGCUCUGUGAUGAGCCUAGGUCGGAGUAGCUAGUUGGUGGGGUAAAGGCCUACCAAGCCGACGAUCCGUAACUGGCCUGAGAGGAUGAUCAGUCACCCUGGAAGUUAGACGCGGUCCUGGCUCCUAAGGGAGGGAGCAGAGGGGUACGGUGGACAGUAGGCGAAAACCUGAUCCAACCGGGCCGCGUGUGUGGAGAAGGUCCUCGGAUUGUGAAGAACUUUUUGUUGGGGUGAAGGGCAGUAGGUUGAUACGAUGCUGUUUUGACGUUACCAAGAGAAUAAGCACCGGCUAACUUCGUG